GUGCUCGCUUCGGCAGCACAUAUGCUAAAAUUGGAACGAUACAGAGAAGAUUAGCAUGGCCCCCUGCGCAAGGAUGACAUUUAGUUAGUAGGCAUGAGUCCUCCAAGGCAUU
rnacentral:snRNA from 1 species